CCGGUUCCGUUCGUUUCACCUGACCGGUCGUUUGUGAUUGUGGUGUGUGUGUGUGUGUGUGUGUGUGUGUGUCUAUGCGAUUGUGUGCGCGCCGCCGGUUAUCGUAUACCUCUACCUGUAUGAUUUUUGUUAAUAAUUAUUAUUUUUCACACGGACGAUAAUUAUCGGGGAAAAAAAAAAAUUAAUAAUAGCAAAUAAAACCCAAUAAUAAUUACAUAUAUAUAUUUUAAUUAAUCGUAUUACUCACACGUUCGCGAGUGCGACAGUUCCGGGGUGGUGCGGCGAUUAUUUGGUUUCGGCGUGAUAACGCUUAUCAAUAAUCCAGUCGCGGUUAUCAGUCGUUUAUUUCGCGGAGACGACCCGACGACGACCGGCGGUUACACUCAUCAGGAAGUUUUCCUUGGACGAUGUUUGUUGACGUUUCCCGUUUGACCGAAGCGACGCCAUGGAUAAUAUGAACCAGGUGACCGACCAAGAACGAUGCCGUCGCUGCCGAAGAUUAUCAUCACAGUAGAAACGAACCGAACACAUUAUUGUAAUGUCAUCGAAACGCAAAUCGCCGCCGUCCAAGUUGCUUGAGAACGCCAGUGGCGAAACGGGUAAGACGACGGAUUUCUACCCGGACGUCUAUUGCGGCGGCAUGGACGCAGCUGUGGACAGAAACUGUGGCAGU